GGCCGGCUAGGACAGCUCAGUCGGUAGAGCAUGAGACCAACUUAAUAUCAGGGCUGUGGGUUCGAGCCCCAUGUUGGGCA